AUUGAACGCUGGCGGCAGGCCUAACACAUGCAAGUCGAGCGAGCGGCGGACGGGUGAGUAAUGUAUGGGGACUGCCCGAUAGAGGGGGAUAACUACUGGAAACGGUGGCUAAUACCGCAUACUGUCGCAUAACCCAUAUGGGAUUAGCUCGUGGCGAAGGUAAUGGCUUACCCAGGCGACGAUCCCUAGCUGGUCUGAGAGGAUGAUCAGCCAAACGGGAACUGAGACACGGCCCAGACGCCUACGGAGGCAGCAGUGGGGAAUAUUGCACAAUGGGCGCAAGCCUGAUACAGCCAUGCCGCGUGUAUGAAGAAGGCCCUAGGGUUGUAAAGUACUUGCAGUCGGGAGGCGUUACCGACAGAAGAAGCACCGGCUAACUCCGUGCCAGCAGCCGCGGUAAUAC
rnacentral:rRNA from 1 species